rnacentral:rRNA from 1 species
AUGAGGGCCACGCCAGUGAUCUCCCCUCAGCCCGCCUGCUCCCUCCUUUCAUCUCCGUUCUACUCCUUCUCUCUCGGCCCCAUCGAGCUCGCCUCGAUCCAUGGCCCCUCCUUAAACCUAGCUCCGGUCUCGGCCACGACCGGCCUCACAGAUCUCGGCCGCCAUCCCCUACGCCUCCCCCCACGUCUCCCUCACCUCGCCCGUGCAGCACCGUGGCUGCACGUCGCCUGCGCCAUCUGCUGCAGCCCCGCUCUAAACCACUUGCAUGCCAUGGGCAGCGGCCAUGGAGGACACACCUCCGCCUGCUCACUCGCCGCUGGCCAGCCAGAUAAUCCAGAUGUUCUCAUAUGCCUUGAGGAGUUGUCGGUGGAUUAUAUGCAGAGGCUACCAAGUGGUAGCUCCAAUGUUGCAAGAGGAUCUGAAUUUUCAAGCUCAGCAAGGCCUGCAUGUUGCAGUCUGUGGGACGGCCGGCUCUGGAAAAUCAAGUUUGCUCUCUUGAAUGGUAUGGUUCCAAAGCUAUUAGGAGAGGCCAAGACUUGCAGAACAAUGCCAUAUGUCAGCCAGACUGCAUGGAUACAAAGCGACAAAAUUCAGGACAACAUACUGCUCGGCAAGACGAUGGAGAGGGAGAAGUAUGGAAGGCUCCUUGAGUGGUGUUCGCUAAAGAAAGACUUGGAGAUCAGAAAUCAUUGGAGAUUGACAUACAGGAUCCCAAUUUUUCAAGUUUAUGUUUGUCUUGACAGAUCGAUGGUUUCGUCGUGGUCGGCAGGAGAAAUAUCAUCAAUGGUACGGAAAAAGGCAGGUAGGCUGAGGCGGGCGUCCACACCGAGCAGCCGAUCCAGGAAACCAGCCCUGCGGCACCCCCUCGUGCCAGUCCCCAUCUCUAUGUUUGUGUCAGGCCUAGUGCAAGGUAUUGGUAGAAGAGAAGGCCGGAAAGAGAAGCUGCAAGAUCACAAAUGUACCUUGGUUAUGUCUCUCACUAAAGUUGUUGAAGUGAAAGAUGAAGAUGAACCCGUAGAAGAGCUGAAAAAAGGACGUGGUAGAAAGAAGGAAGCGAAGCCUAAACAGUAUAAUGAUUACUGCCUCGCCCAGCCGUGCAUCCAAGAUGCGACGCUUGCUGGAAAGCUGGUCAAGUAG